GAUAACAUAUGGAUCACUCUUCGUGUUUGUACUCCAAAGUGAGCAAAUAUACUCUCAGAUAUUACCGUAAGAGCAUUUCUACUUUUAUGAAAGUUUGUAACAAAAACAGAAACACGAGUUCUCCUUGCGCCAGAUUGAGCCGUAUACUGAACACCAAACAAAAAAGCAUCAACAGGAUACUAGAGUUGAGUGUGAAGGCAACACCAGAGGUCGGCACUAGAGAGGGCGGCACCAGAGGGCGGCACCAGAGGGCGGCACCAGAGCUCGCUCACGUCUAUAUUUCGGUAUAUAAAGAGCUGCAUGAGCCUCGACAAAGACAGUCAACGCUGAACAGCCAAUUCUGACCGACAACAUUGACUUCACAGACAUGAAACUUUUGUCGCUGAUGGUGGUGUUGGUGGUGGCCCUGGCCGCCCUGAUGGGGUCAGCCCGAGCCAUGCCUGACCCCUACGCCCUGGCCGGCCCUGACCCCGUGGCUGACCCCCAGUUUGGUUUCGGCCGGCGAGGUUUCGGCCGAGGUUUCAGACGAGGUGGUUUCUUUGGUUAAUGUGAUCCCGUACUCUCCGUGACCAACAGUUUCCUAUCAAGCACAACAAACAUCCGGCCAGAAUAUCUAGAAACCCAAAAUUGUGAAAUAAUGAAAUUGUGAAAAGUGUGAUCAAGAUCUUUAAUGUCCUGUCUCGGCAGUAACAAACUGAUUGAUCAGCUUUUAGGAACUUUGGUACAAUACUUCCAUAAAUAUAUGCAUUUAUAAGUA